rnacentral:rRNA from 1 species
AAAACCCUACGUGAUCUGAGUUCAGACCGGAGAAAUCCAGGUCAGUUUCUAUCUAUAAGAAGUCUUUUCUAGUACGAAAGGACCGAAAAGACAUAGCCAAAGCAUCAGCAAGCUAUCCUUACAACUUAUGACCCGUACUCAAUGAGUAACAAGUUCAACACACAGCCUUAGAAAAAGGCA